rnacentral:misc_RNA from 1 species
GAUGAAGAACGUAGCGAAAUGCGAGAAGUAAUGUGAAUUGCAGAAUUCAGUGAAUCAUCGAAUCUUUGAACGCACAUUGCGCCCGCCAGUAUUCUGGCGGGCAUGCCUGUUCGAGCGUCAUUACAACCCUCAGGCCCCCGGGCCUGGCGUUGGGGAUCGGCGGAGCCCCCCGUGGGCACACGCCGUCCCCCAAAUGCAGUGGCGGUCCCGCCGCAGCUUCCAUCGCGUAGUAGCUAACACCUCGCGACUGGAGAGCGGCGCGGCCACGCCGUAAAACACCCAACUCUUCUGAAGUUGACCUCGAAUCAGGUAGGAAUACCCGCUGAACUUAAGCAUAUCAAUAAGCGGAGGA